AUCUACACACAAUACCCCAUAAUGACGAAGCAAUGACAGGUUUUUAGAAAUGUUUGAAAAUGUCUAAAAAAUUAAAUAACUGAAAUAUGACAUUUACAUAAGUAUUCAGACCCUUUACUCAUUACAUUGCGGAAGCACCUUUGGCUGCGAAUACAGCCUCGGGUUUUCUUGGGUUUGACGCUACAAGCUUGGUGUAGGAGCCAUUUUGGCCUGUUUAUGAGUUGUGUAUAUAUUGUCUGUCAAGGGUUAUUUUUACUUGUUUUGUACACUAGAGGGCAUUAUAUGUUGGGGUUAUGGAUCACUGGUCUUGUGUGCAUAUAGGUAGUACAGGUGACCAGGAAGGGUUAGCACAGGUGAGAGGAGAGCACAUACAGUUGUUACCGUAUCACAGAUACAGCUUAUAGAAUGCAUCUCUCUGCACCUUUUUUUUAUAGGAAUAUGUGUUUGGGAGCUAUUUAUAUAUGCAAUAAAUGGGAACUACACCACAAAAGAGUAACAUUUGGAAAGCUGAUUUUUGUGGACGCAUUAUGGAUAGCUCCCUUCUGUGGCAGUUCAUAGGGAAUCGCCACUACACUUGGCAUGCCUGUUUUUCUGAAAUUUCUGCCAUCCUUCUCUGCAGAUCCUCUCAAGUUGUCUUUGUCCUGUCGUGUCCCUUGUAUAUAUAUUUUUACAUCUUUUUCUUCGCAUAUCUUUUAAAAAUAUUUUCCUAAACCUCAACUUCUAAAUACUCUCCUGCAACCCGCCUCACCCAAUGUGGCGUGGAUCUGUUUUUUUUCUAAAGUAUUUCUAUUUAAUUCAGAUCUGGAAUCCCUCAACUGAAGCUAGCCAGCUAACUACCUACCAGGUAUUAGUCAGCAAACCAUUGCUAGCGGUCAUCAGCUAACCUUUAGCUCGGAAAGCUCUCGCCAGUUCGAACAAUGUGACUCAAACCAGAGCAUAACGGACCUAUUAUUAUUUUUUAAUUUUUUUCCCCCAUAUCCCUGGAUUCCUACCGCAAACUCUGAACAUUUUCAUCUGGAUCUUCGCAACUAGCUAACCGCAAUCCUGGGUGACUUCUCCUGGCUAGCUUUUCCAUCCCAGAGCAAGCACCAAUUAGCCUGAAGCUAGCCCAGCCAGGGCUCCUGUGCUACCACCGAAGCCCACUCCUGGGCUACAAUAUCUGGACCCCUUCUACUGCCGGUACAGGGCACGGAACCCCGCCGAUCCUCUAUGACUGGAAUAUCAACAUAAUCUGACCGAGGAUUCCAACAGGCCCCUCAGGCGCGACGUCCGCUGAAGGCCCAUUCUGCUAACCGCGGCCUACUAGCUACCUAGAGUUACUUAGAACCCUACUAAUUCCACGACUGGUCUAUCGACGUCACCGCACGAAGAGGCAAAAACAGACUUACCCCCAUCGCGACGUCCCCCAAAGGCUAACUUGCUAGCCCCGGUUAAUCCAGGUCCUGCAGUGCCUAGCUCCACUCCCACUCCCCAGGUGCUCUCAUUUGUUGACUUCUGUAACCGUAAAAGCCUUGGUUUCAUGCAUGUUAACAUUAGAAGCCUACUCCCUAAGUUUGUUUUACUCACUGCUUUAGCACACUCUGCCAACCCGGAUGUCUUAGCCGUGUCUGAAUCCUGGCUUAGGAAAACCACCAAAAACCCUGAAAUCUCCGUCGCUAACUAUAACAUUUUCCGCCAAGAUAGAACUGCCAAAGGGGGCGGUGUUGCAAUCUACUGCAAAGAUAGUAAUACAGAACUCUGCAGGCUAUCCAAGUCUGUACCAAAACAAUUCGAGCUUCUACUUUUAAAAAUUCACCUUUCCAGAAACAAGUCUCUCACUGUUGCCGCUUGCUAUAGACCUCCCUCUGCCCCCAGCUGUGCCCUCGAUACCAUAUGUGAAUUGAUUGCCCCCAUAUAUCUUCUGAGCUUGUUCUACUAGGUGACCUAAACUGGGACAUGCUUAACACCCCGGCCAUUCUACAAUCUAAGCUAGAUGCCCUCAAUCUCACACAAAUUGUACAACCCCAAAUCCAUAAACACGGGCACCUCCAUAGAUGUCAUCCUAACUAACUUGCCCUCCAAAUACACCUCUGAUGUUUUCAAUCAAGAUCUCAGCGAUCACAGCCUGCAUCCGUAAUGGGUCUGCGACCAAACGACCACCCCUCAUAACUGUCAAACGCUCCCUAAAACACUUCUGCGAGCAGGCCUUUCUAAUCGACCUGGCCGGGGUAUCCUGGAAUGACAUUGACCUCAUCCCGUCAGUAGAUGAUGCCUGGCUAUUCUUUAAAAGUGCCUUCCUCACCAUCUUAAAUAAGCAUGCCAGACUCAAAAAAUGUAGAACUAGGAAUAGAUAUAGUCCUUGGUUCACUCCAGACCUGUCUGCCCUUGACCAGCACAAAAACAUCUUGUGGUGUUCUGCAUUAGCAUCGAAUAGCCCCCGUGAUAUGCAACCUUUCAGGGAAGUUAGGAACAAAUAUACAUAGGCAGUUAGAAAAGCUAAGGCUAGCUUUUCAAACAGAAAUGUGCAUCCUGUAGUACUAACUCAAAAACGUUUUGGGACACUGUAAAGUCCAUGGAGAAUAAGAGCACCUCCUUCCAGCUGCCCACUGCUCUGAGGUUAGGAAACACUGUUACCACCGAUAAAUCCACUAUAAUUGAGAAUUUCAAUAAGCAUUUCUCUACGGCUGGCCAUGCUUUCCACCUGGCUACCCCUACCCCGGUCAACUGCCCGGCACCCUCCACAGCAACCCGCCAAAGCCCCCCUGCUUCUCCUUCACCCAAAUCCAGAUAGUUGAUGUUCUGAAAGAGCUGCAAAAUCUGGAUCCCUACAAAUCAGCUGGGCUAGACAAUCUGCACCCUCUCUUUCUAAAAGUCUCUGCCGAAAUUGUUGCAACCCCUAUUACUAGCCUGUUCAACCUCUCUUUCAUAUCGUCUGAGAUUCCCAAAGAUUGGAAAGCUGCCGUGGUCAUCCCCCUCUUCAAAGGGGGUGGCACUCUAGACCCAAACUGUUAUAGACCUAUAUCCAUCCUGCCCUGCCUUUCUAAAAUCUUCGAAAGCCAAGUUAACAAACAGAUCACCGACCAUUUCGAAUCCCACCGUACCUUCUCCACUAUGCAAUCUGGUUUCCGAGCUGGUCAUGGGUGCACCUCAGCCACGCUCAAGGUCCUAAACGAUAUCAUAACCACCAUCGAUAAAAGACAGUACUGUACAGCUGUAUUCCUCGACCUGGCCAAGGCUUUCGACUCUGUCAAUCAUCACAAUCUUAUCGGCAGACUCAAUAGCCUUUGUUUCUCAAAUGACUGCCUCACCUGGUUCACCAACUACUUCUCAGACAGAGUUCAGUGUGUCAAAUCGGAGGGCCUGUUGUCCGGACCUCUGGUAGUCUAUGGGGGUGCCACAGGGUUCAAUUCUCAGGCUGACUCUUUUCUCUCUAUAUAUCAAUAAUGUCGCUCUCGCUGCUGCUGAUGAUUCUCUGAUGCACCUCUAUGCAGGCGACACCAUUCUGUAUACAUUUGGCCCUUCUUUGGACACUGUGUUAACAAACCUCCAAAUGAGCUACAAUGCCAUACAACACACCUUCUGUGGCCUCCAACUGUUUUUAAAUGCUAGUAAAACUAAAUGCAUGCUCUUAAACCGAUUGCUGCCCGCACCCGCCCACUACUCUGGAUGAUUCUGAAUUAGAACAUGUGGACAACUACAAAUACCUAGGUUUCUGGUUAGACUGUAAACUCUCCUUCCAGACUCACAUUAAGCAUUUCCAAUCCUAAGUUAAAUCUAGAAUCGGCUUCCUAUUUCGCAACAAAGCCUCCUUCACUCAUGCUGCCAAACAUACCCUCGUAAAACUGACUAUCCUACCGAUCCAUUGACAAAAUAGUCUCCAACACUACUCAGCAAACUGUAUGUAGUCUAUCACAGUGCCAUCCAUUUUGUCACCGAAGCCCCAUAUACUACCCACCACUGCAACCUGUAUGCUCUCGUUGGCUGGCCCUCGCAACAUAUUUGUCCCCAGACCCACUGGCUACAGGUCAUCUAUAAGUCUUUGCUAGGUAAAGCCUCGUCUUAUCUCAGCUCACUGGUCACCAUAGCAACACCCACCCGUAGCAAGCGCUCCAGCAGGUAUAUUUCACUGGUCAUCCCCAAAGCCAACACUUCCUUUGGCCGCCUUUCCUUCCAGUUCUCUGCUGCCAAUGACUGGAACAAAUUGCAAAAAUCACUGAAGCUGGAGUCUUAUAUCUCCCUCACUAACUUUAAGCAUCAGCUGUCAGAGCAGUUUACUGAUCACUGUACCUGUACACAGCCAAUCUGUAAAUAGCACACCCAACUACCUCAUCCUCAUAUUAUUUAUCUUUUGCUCUUUUUCACACCAGUAUCUCUACUUGCACAUCCUCAUCUGCACAUCUAUCACUCCAGUGUUAAUGCUAAAUUGUAAUUAUUUCACCUCUAUGGCCUAUUUAUUGCCUUGCCUCCCUAAUCUUCUACAUUUGCACACACUGUACAUGGAUUUUUCUAUUGCGUUAUUGACUGUACGUUUGUUUAUCCCAUGUGUAACUCUGUGUUGUUGUUUUGGUCACACUGCUUUGCUUUAUCUUGGCCAGGUCACAGUUGUAAAUGAGAACUUGUUCUCAACUGGCCUACCUGGUUAAGUAAGGUGAAAUAAAAAUACAAAUAAAAAUAUGGGACCAAAUACUUAACUUUUGAUUAAUUUAAUACACAUAAGUGAAUUUGUCCCAAUAGUUUUGGUCCCCUAAAAUGUGGGGACUAUGUAUAAAAAGUGCAGUAAUUACAAAACAGUUUAUCCAAUACCGUUGUACAGUAAAUACACUAAAAUUAAAUCUGACAGUCUGUACUUUAACCUCAUUGUCAUUGUGUCAUUUCAAAUGAUUCACUGUCCCAAUACUUUUCUAGCUCACUGUAUAUGCCAUGUAGCAGACACUUUUAUCUAAUGUGACUUAGUCACAUGUGCAUACAUUUUAUGUAUGGGUGGCUCGGGGACUCAAACCCACAACCCUGGCAGUGCAAGCGCCAUGCUCUACAAACUGAGCCAUACAGAACCACUUGAGGCCCACUUGACAAAGGAAUAGAACUACUCAGAUUUAGUUUAAUAUGGUAUGUGAAUGAGCUUUCAUUCUCUCACCUGCAUUAAACCAGAACAUUUCCCAAAUCAAUAGGGAACAAAGGCUAAUCUCUGCAUUAUGUACUGUUUGUUGUGUCAGUCGAUGUUUCCAUCUCAAUCUAUAUUGCUUUCACAGGCAAUUGAUGAUCAAGUGGAUAAAGGAGAUUCACAGGGCCCAUUGGACAGGUGUAUGAAAGAGGACACACAUGGAGGAAUCUGAUUCCUAAGACAUUGUGUACUUGUAGCAUAAAUAAUUUUGUAAAUAUAUUCUAUGAACCUUAAAGUAUUGUAUACUUUGAACUACCACAUAAAAAUACCAGAAAAAAUGUACACAUUUUAUUGAUUCACAUUUAAAUGCAUUUCCCUUUGAGGAAACUGAGCAUCUGUACUUAAAAAAGUCCAUUGCUUUCUCUGAAGUGUUCUGAAUGGAUGUU
rnacentral:lncRNA from 1 species